rnacentral:rRNA from 1 species
CGAACCUCUGGUGUUCCGGUUGUCACGCCAGUGGCAUUGCCGGGUAGCUAUGUUCGGAAAAGAUAACCGCUGAAAGCAUCUAAGCGGGAAACUUGCCUCAAGAUGAGAUCUCACUGGGAACUUGAUUCCCCUGAAGGGCCGUCGAAGACUACGACGUUGAUAGGCUGGGUGUGUAAGCGUUGUGAGGCGUUGAGCUAACCAGUACUAAUUGCCCGUGAGGCUUGACCAUAUAACACCCAAACA